rnacentral:rRNA from 1 species
UACAGAGGUCUCAAGCGUUGUUCGGAUUCAUUGGGCGUAAAGGGUGCGUAGGUGGCGGGGUAAGUCAGGUGUGAAAUCUCGGGGCUCAACCCCGAAACUGCACUUGAUACUGCCUUGCUCGAGUACUGGAGAGGAGAUUGGAAUUACGGUGUAGCGGUGAAAUGCGUAGAUAUCGUAAGGAAGACCAGUGGCGAAGGCGGGUCUCGUGGACAGUUCCUGACGCUGAGGCACGAAGGCCAGGGGAGCAAACGGG